CGACCGGCGCACGGGUGAGUAACACGUAUGCAAUCCACCUGUAACAGGGGGAUAACCCGGAGAAAUCCGGACUAAUACCCCAUAAUAUGGGCGCUCCGCAUGGAGAGCCCAUUAAAGAGAGCAAUUUUGGUUACAGACGAGCAUGCGUUCCAUUAGAUAGUAGGCGGGGUAACGGCCCACCUAGUCUUCGAUGGAUAGGGGUUCUGAGAGGAAGGUCCCCCACAUUGGAACUGGGACACGGUCCAA
rnacentral:rRNA from 1 species